rnacentral:rRNA from 1 species
UACGUAGGUGGCGAGCGUUGUCCGGAUUUACUGGGCGUAAAGCGUGCGUAGGCAGCUGUGCAAGACAGAUGUGAAAUCCCCGGGCUUAACCUGGGAACUGCAUUUGUGACUGCAUGGCUAGAGUGUGUCAGAGGGAGGUGGAAUUCCGCGUGUAGCAGUGAAAUGCGUAGAGAUGCGGAGGAACACCGAUGGCGAAGGCAGCCUCCUGGGAUAACACUGACGCUCAGGCACGAAAGCGUGGGGAG